GUCUCCUACAAACAUUUUUUUACCAUUGAGUUCCGCAUUGCACACUGUGGACUGUAAAUUGUUAAUCGAUAGACUCCGGCAAGAACAACGCGCAAUAGUAGGCAGCAUCGCAGAUAUUAAUAUACACAACCUUAUUCAUAUACCUAAAGAACCACACCUUUAUUGGUCUCUUAUUUUGACGAUGUCUUCAUCGAGAGUAUAAUGGAGAACGAGGAAGAGUCGCCCUUUCGAAUCAUCUCCACUGUCCGAGCAUUGAACUCGGCAUUACGGGUGAAGCUCCGAGAUGAAACCGAGACUACGCGUUCUUGUGGCGGAGACAGGGUCCUGAAUGAGCCAGAGAAGCUCUGGUUCAAAGAAAGCAGUGCGAAAAAUCUCCGAAACCGAGACUUCCUUUCGCCAAACACGGUUUUAACUGCUAUGUAUGAAGGUGGACAGGUGCCCCCAGCAGUGCUGAAUAAUGUGUCGUCGGCACAUGGAAGUGGUGUGUUGCCACUCAGUGGAGCUGAGGUAGUGGCAGAAGGUCUGCGUGUGUGUGUGGACCACCCUGCUGCUUUCCGGAGAGUUCUGAGCCGAGCGGCCGAGUACCUUCGCCCGUCAGCGUCCCAGAGGGAAGGGUGUGUGCUGCUCAACUGUCCUGCACUGCACACCAGAGACACACACAUCACCUCACAGACACUUACUCUGGGACAGCUACGCACAGUUCUCAUUGCAGACCAUCUGGGCGUUCUUCUGAGAAGACAUGGGUACUCUGUUUUGUACUGCCCGGCUCUGCCAGAAGACAGUGACAUCAUCAACUUCCUCAAUGCACUGGGUGUUGAUUGGCCAACUGUGCCCGGCAGUUGGAGCAAUGAGGAGAGAGAGCAAAAAGUGCUUGAGGAGCUGCGCAGCUCUCCCCACCGAGAGAAGGAGUGUGAGAAAGAAAAGAGAAGAAGCAGAGGAGAAGAGAUGGAGAGAGGGAAGCACAGGGGGGAAGAGGAGGUGAAGAUUAACCUGAAAGAGGUGGUCCAGGAGCAGGGCCUUGUGGGAUACGACCCCAGUCUGGGCACCUGCACAGUCCAAAGGGAGGCGAUAGCCCACCUGGCCCAGUUGGACAGAGUAGCCGCAGGAGCUGACGGUUCGGUCGCCAUGACUGUCCUGCAUGUCACUUCCUGUCAGGAUGAGUUCCGUCAGCAGCAGACAGCUAUGCUCUGGAGAGCGUCUGGAGCCACGGCAACACAGAGACUAGUGGUGUGUGGGCCAGUGAAGACCCCAGGAGUGCAACUCAGUGCUGCCCAGUAUUUACAAGUGAGGAGAUCCCAGAUGAAGGAGGCAUCUGAAAUGAAAUAUGGAGACCAGGUUGGAGGAAAGACAUGGGAUGACAUCAUCAGAGUCAUGACCUCCGCGACGGUCAGAUUUGAGUUGUUGUCAACUGUUCACACUAGUCCAGUGACUCUGGAUGUGCAGAGAGAGGGGGGUGUGUCCACCAAGGGCCCAAGGGGCGGGGUCUUUGUGAUGUAUAACUGUGCACGCCUACACACCCUCUUCAGCAGUUACGAGAAAGGAGUGCAGGAAGGAAUUUACCCAGAAAUCCCUGAGAGCUCAGAGCUGGACUUCUCCUCCUUGAAAGAAGAGGGGGAGUGGCUCCUUCUCUUCAAUUACCUCAUUCCGUAUUCAGAACUUCUGGACCAAUCAGGGAGAACACUGGAAGUAGAAGGAGGAGGGGUCAGAGUUAACCUUAAGACUGAACAAGUUUGUAAGUUUCUGGUGUCUCUGAGUAAAGACUUCAGCUCCUACUACAACAGGGUUCAUGUGCUUGGGGAGCCAUUGCCUCAUCUCUUCAAUCAGAUGUUUUGUCGGCUGCUGUUGCUGAGUGCUCUGAGAGAGCUCUACCACAGUGCGCUGGACGCCCUCAACCUGCCCCCCAUCCCACAGCUAUAGCCCCAACCCAUCCCACCAGAGACACUCACACACUCACACACUCACACACUCACACACUCACACACUCACACACACACACACACACACACACAAC